GCUUCUAUCGUUUAAUUGGUAGGACAUUGUUUUUUCGAAGCAAAGAUGUGAGUUCAAUUCUCACUAGAAGUA
rnacentral:tRNA from 1 species